rnacentral:lncRNA from 1 species
UCCAUGCUUCCAUGGAACCAGCUGUAGAGGAGUGGUGAUGCAAUGAGCAUCCUGGAAGUUUAGUUGUCAUUUGUCACCUUUUGGAUAAUGGAGUAGAUUUCUGAAGCUAUUUCUCCUUGUUUGGUGUUCUGCCUGCAAUUUGGACAAGUGGACUUCAGAUUAUGUCUUCGUAGACUGAAAGGCUUGGGACUACUUUGGUUUUCUGGGGGUCCACUUCAGACCCUAGUUGCCUUGGUUUUUCCCAUACCUGGAGAUGUCACCAGUGAAGCCUGGGAAACAGCAAAGAGGGCAGCCUGAUCGUUCAUCUGGAAACUUUGUUCCAGCAUAAGAAGCCUCUCACCCUAAACAUCACAGCUGGGAAUAUGCUGGACCACAACUAAAGCCAGCAUGGCACUGACUCUGACCAAAGGAUUAGCUUCCAGGGGUCCUAGCAAGGUGCAUCACAGUGUCAAGAAUGCACUGCAUUCAGAGAAGUUCAAACUAUGGAUUCCCACCAGGCAUUUAUAAUUCAUUGACAGUUCUCCCAGAGCAGGUAUAGUUUAGAAGUCAUU